rnacentral:lncRNA from 1 species
AGUUGAAACCUAUUUUAAAAUUGCAUUACAUGAAAUAUACAUUCCAAUACAGCCAGUAUUCAUCUUAUUUCAUUUCUAAAAUGGUUUUUAUCUCUCAAGUUCUAUAACAUAAAAAAUUAGACUAUAUUAACUAUUGAACUGAUUGUUUUUUAAAAUAUGGUUUUUUUGGGGGGGUUGUACCAAAGAUGGAACUCAAGACCUCUCCCUUGUCAGGCAGGCAUGGUGCCACUGAGUUACAUCCCAGCAUUAAAAUAUGUAUUUUUUACUUUUAUUAAAAUACACAGGAAAUGUUAGAAAAUAAAAGCCUAUGAAAUUAAUGCAGUUAAUUCUGAUUUUCAUACGGCAGUUUUAAUUUUUCUCAAAAACUAUAAUCCAAAUUUAGAUAGACAUGCUCACACUUUUUCUGAAGGAAUUUUGUUAAAUUUUAUUAUAUUUUGAUGGACUUAUAAUAAUGUUCACUAUACAUAAUAUUACAAAAGAAAUUAUGACAAACAACCUUGAUUUAUUGUCAUUGCUUUCUUACUUGUCAUGAAAUAUCUUAUAAUAAUUCCAAUUUAUUUAUAUAUUGACUCAAGUUUUUGAGUCAGAAAUUUUGCAAGACAAAGUAAUGUUUCUACCAGUUUUUGAAAGAUUGCUCCUCAGAAAAGUUAUUCAAAUAUUUGUUUUAAUAGAAAACCUUAGAUUAUUUUCUUAUUGAAAAGGAUUAUGGGGCCUGCCAAAGUGGCUCAUACUUGUAAUCUGAGCAUUCUACGAGGCUGAAGCAAGAGGAUUGCAAGUUUUUGCCCAAUCUGGGCAAGUGAACAACUUAAUGAAAACCCUAUCUGAAAAGAAAGUAAUUUAAAAGUAUUGGUGAGGUAGUACGCUGUGAAGGCACCGAGUUCAUACCUCAGUAAAACACACAUACACACACACAGACACACACACACACACACACACUUUAUUCUAAUUCAUGAAUUGUUUUGACAAAUGACUAGUUUUGCUAAUUACAAUAUAUAGGAGAUAUUCUUCACAAAAUGAAUAAAUCUACAGGUAAAAUAAGUGUUUGAGGAAACAUUUAUGAAAUGUUCAUGAGUUUAUAAGAGUUUAUGAAAAAUUAGAAGAAUGUUUGCAAGAAAUACUGUAGUCAGUGGUAGUAAUUAUAUACAUAUUAUUUUCCCCCAAGAUUUCUGAAUGUAUCAUUUUGAGCAGAAUGUCUCCAGUGAAGGAACAGCAAGUAUAAAUGAUUCUCAUUAUUUGUCAUAGUUGUGUUCUAUAAAGUCACAAUAAAUACUAAAUUAUUGAUUGCUGAAUCACUGCUCCUAUGGGAAAUACAGAGUUAAGUAGAGCCACUGGUCACAGCACUUCCAUCAGUGAAUCAAUAAAUUACACUGAAUUCACAGCCAACAGCACUGUAACUCAUCCUUAAAUGAAGCUUCUCUAACAUCCAUAUUUCCCCUCAUAAGGUACAUCACACCCUUCUUGUACUUAGGAACAUUAGAAAGCAUGUCAGUACUAUGCUUGGGGAGUAUUUUAAGCAGAAAAAAAAAUACAAAUCAAAAUGCAUCACAAUUCAAAAAGUAAAAGUGAUGCUGAAUACAUAACAAGUAAUUCAUUUGUAGCUUGUAAACUGAAACAAGAGAGGCAGCCAUCGUUCUGUUUGACCACAACUGGAAACAUGCAUGUCAAACAGCUCAAACUUGUUGCCAUUCUAGAAAUGGCCAAUGACAAUAAAAGUGUCAUGAAUAUUGAUUUGAGGGUGAUAAAUAAAUAUUAUCAAAUAGAUAAUUCACAAAUAUAGAAUCCACACAGAAUUGAGGAUUGACUCUAUUUUGGUAUGAUUUCCAGAAACUUCAAAAGGCUUUUGCAAGUUAGUACACAAGCAAAAACUUCUCAGCCAGUACUCCUUUGGAUGUAACAUUUUGAGGCAAUGGUCUUCCAGGUUCAGCCUCCCAGGGUGCUGAAAUUUUGUAUAGAACAAUCCUCAUAUAUGUCCCUACUUUGCUGUGUAAUUUCUACAAUGAUUACUUCACACCUUUUUUACUUAUGUCAAACCUUUGAAAUCAAAAGUUCUGUCAUUCUCAUAAAUACUUUUGCCUUCUGAAACUCUAUUGCUUGAUCAAUGUUUUAUAUUCUUUCCAAUAUACAAAAUAUUUAUCUGUACCUGAUUACUCUAUAUCAAAACUUUCUAUUUGCUUCUCUGACUCUCUCAUUAGACUACAAAUUCCAGAAGGCAGGAGUUUUGUUUUUAAUGUUUAUUAUUUUAUCCACUUUAUUUAUCAGGGUUACAAAAUUGUGAUAAAAACAAAAAGGUUUAAAAAUAGGUAAAUAGAAUUUUUGUUUACACAACACAGUUGAAUAAAUAAAAGCAAGACUUCACACUGAUACAAACAUAUAAAACUGUUUUACCAAAAGAACAUAAUGUUUAUUGGAGUGAAAAAGAAAGGGAAAUUUUUGGAUGUAAAAAUAAAACUCAAUGGGGAAAAAAAUAAGAACCAAGAUGCAUCAUGUACAGGUACAAACACCCAAUGAUAAAUGUAAAUGAAUUGUAUACCUAAAAUGUACCAGUAAAAGAACUUAGAAAAAAAAAAACUCAAUAGUAAUUCCAGCAGGCUACUCCUCAGAAAAAUAAAGGCCAGAGACAUUGGAAGAAUAUCUUCAGAGUUUACAGGAAAAAUAAAUGUUAACCAGAAUCUUAUAUACAGAUAAAUUAACAUUAAAUAAUUGUUCUUAAAGUCUUUUUUCAAUCAGAGUCAAGAUAAAAUUCACAAUCCCUCAUUGAAAAUAUUGCUAAAAGGAUAAACAUAUUGAAGAAAAUUGAAUUUUGAAGAUGAAUAGAAUUAAGUAGAAUAACUGAAAUAAUUCUGUAAAUAGGAAACCCCAAACAUUAUUGCUCAAAAAAUAUAGCAACAACAGCAACAACAAUAAAAUUAACAACAACAACAGUAACAACAACUGUGACAACAAGGACUGAUCUUGUGAUGAAGUGCUAUUGAAUGUUAGCAUUAUGUAUACUUCUUACCUUCUGGACAAUUGUUUCUCUUCACCUCAUUUUGACUAUAAAUAAUUUGGUCAAACGUCAUGUCUGCGUCAGGCAAGAAUUCCUCAACAUGAUUUUUUACCUUUUUAAAUUAUCCUUCCUCUUCCUUUUAUAUAUGAAUAUUGAUCACAGACACCAAAGACUCUAUAAGUAGAUAAUCAAUUCCAGUACUGUAUUAUGGACAACAAAUUUCAAAUACUGCAUAUCAACAACAGAAAACUCAAUUUUUUUAUUUACUAUUUGAUAAAAACAAUGUAGAUGGUAAAGACAGUAUUAAACUUAAGUCACUGAAGAGGAUGAUUCAAGUUCAAGAAAACUUACUACUCUUCUGACCUUGGACCUAACCACUUCGGCCCUUUAUUGUCUUCUAAAGAAAAGAUUAAAAUGUUUUUUGCUCACCCCAUUGACUUUGGAAAACACAUAUGCAAAUCACUGAAAAUAUAUGAAGGACAUUUGUAACAACAUAAUGCCGUCCAAAUGCAAAGAAAUACUACUCUGGGACACUAGCUUUAAGACACGUAGAUUCAAGCUUUCUUCAAAAAAUCCUUCUCCUAGAUGAAUUUACUUUUUUAGAAGUCUUUCUUCUUGAACUGAAUUGUCAAGAGUUGAGGCUGGACUUAGAAACUAGUGAAAUUGUUACUUAGCUAUCAAGCACAUAGCGAUGAUAUUCCAAAUUCUAUGUCUCAUGUGGGGUCAAACUAAAAAAUAGUUUAGUUCACAUCAAACAGGAGAGGAAAAUGAGAGCCUCUGUGAGACAAGAUUGACAGAAAUUUCAGAAAGCAAAGUCUUAUGCUUUUGUAAGAGCAAAGAAUCCAGUUGGAGGGAAUCCUUAUGGAUUUCUCUGACUUGCAGCAGUAAUAAGGAGAGACUGAGCACAUUCAGACAUGGUCCAGUGCAAAAUAAGAAAAGCUACAAUACUGCUUUUAUUUGCCAUUUAUCUGUUAGAUACUUAUCUAUUUAUCUGUUAGAUGGACUUAUUCCUCUGUCAAUUGAGACCCAUGACAAAUUAGAAAAAAGUAAGAAAAUCAGGAUUAAAACAAAGAGUGUGAAAUCUUGAAAUCAAUUUUAAUGUAUUGAUAUUGAAUCAUAACAUUGUAUUCAUUUAAUAAUUAUUUUUAAUUCUAUCUUCCCCAUAACCACACCCAAAAUAAUAAUAGGUACAGAUAGAAAAAUAGUCUGAAGUCUUAAAAUAUUUUUAAAUAAAGGUUUUGUUAAUGAACAGAAGGAAAAAUGGAACAUUUUGACUUAUUCUGGGCAUAAUGUUAAAUUUAUUUAAAAAUUCAAGAUGAUAUAAUUUCUUUUAAAAUUAUAUUCUUAUAUUAGUACUACACUUUUGAAAAUUAGAGUUAAUGUGGCAUUUUGACCACCACUGUCCAACAGAAAUAUAAUUUUGGACAUAUGUACAACUUUAAAUUUUUAUUUAACCUAAUGUAUCUAAAAUAUUUUCACAUAUAAUCAAUAUAUUUUCAAAAUGCAAUCAAUUUCAAAACAGGUAUUGAUUAUAUAUUUCAUAUAUUUCAUUUUAAAUAUGAUACAGUAUUGUUUUGGUUUCAGGGAAUCUUGAUGGUAGGGGCGAUUAUACAGAUGAUAUAUUUGGUUUUUUACAAGUUAAACUGUACACUUGAACUGGAUGCAUUUUAUAUAAGUAUGAUGUCAACAUGGAUAUACAAUAUUAAUAUACCAUUAAAUAUUAAAAAGUAUCUAAUAAAUAAAAACACUAACUUGUUGCAAAAAGAAUAAAAACCACUAAAUAGAUUAAUAAAUAAUAAUUAAAGUGGUAGUCAAAGACUACUUAACUUAUUAAAAAGAUGCCCAUAGCUUCACAGGUCAGUUUUCCUAAAUGUUUUAAGCAUAUGUAAUUAUCUUCUACAAGUUGUCACAACAAAUUAUAAAAGAGCAAAAAUUACCCAAAUCGCUUUUCUAACCCGUUGUUACUUUAAUUAACAAAGUGUACUCAGAAAAUACAAAGCAAGGAAAUUACAGGACUUCUUCAUUUGUAAUGACAGAUAAAAAUUCUUAAGAAAAUCCUAAGUAACUGAUUUCUAUUGUACGUAACAAUAAUAAUGAUUUUUAAAAAUCAGGAUAAAAUGCAGUGUUUUAUUUGCUCACAUUUAAGUGAGUUGAUUAAAUUGAUCUCUAGUAUGGAACUUAUGAGCAACUGUGUAGAUUUUGUUUCAGUUCCUCCCAAACAAUUUCAUCUGGCCCUCAGCAUGGUGUGGAUGAUCGGUGUUAGUAGAAGCCAAUCUUCCUUUAUUCAGACUCUGUGUCCAUCAAAUGGAGCCUUUAGGAGAUUAGAAUGAACAUAUUACAUUCAUUUGGAAAUACAAGCAUCACCUGUAUAUCAAUCAUUACUUAAACUAGGACCAUCCAAAUGACCUGUGGGAACUGACUGAUUUAUCUUCAAGAUCAAUCUGAAGGUGAACUAAUGUGAUCUUUUCCUUUGAUUUCCUUUAUUAGUCAAAGUUCUGUCAGUUCAAUAAAUAGAUAUGUUAUAUGUAACUACUCACAAAGUAGAUGGAAAAGAAGAAACGCAAACAUCAUCCUUGUUAAAACCUAUGAAAUUAGAGACUAGAGUUGUCUGCCAAGAGAUGGAACUGAGGAACAAAUGUAGCCACUUUGAGAAUUCCCAUUCAAGAAUCCUCAGAGUGGGAAGUAUGAUCCAGCUUUCAUUUUGUCCGCAUACUCCAGUGUGCUGCCAUUGAUUCUUGGAACUAGACAGGAACUUACCUGAGAUACAAAGUGUACACUGCUCACUUUUGUUGAUACAUGCAUCAAAUAUAUGAUAUCCAAUUUUUUUUUUUUUUUGGUACUGGGGAUCAAACUUGGGUCUUUGCACUUGAGAGGCAGGCAGCAGAACCACUGAGCUAAAUCCCCAGCCCCUUCAAAUACAUGAUAAUAAAAACAUUUUUUAUAAAAAGAUCAGGUUAGAGACAGGAUGAGUUUGAGGACAAACAAGAUAUAAUCAACACAAUUUCUUUUUAUAUCUGUCAGCUGACCUUUUCUCAGAUGAUGAUAGAUAAUUUUUCUAGGAGGAAAAAUACACUUUAUGUUUACCAAAAUAAGACUGAUAAAUUUAUUUCUUGUCUCAGUCACAAGUAAACUUACUACCUGAUCUGUAUUUCUAUCACUCAGUAACAAAUGUUCGCUUUUACCUGAAUGAAUGUAACAUUUUUAAUAGUAUGAACAAAAUGAGGAAAACUGAUUAAGAUAGUAGUUUUCUCUCCUUAUGCCUUCAUAAUCCUUUGUUUUCACCCUGAAGCAGAUGAGCAUUCAUUGUCAGGGAGCUAUUGAUGACCCAUCUUUAGGUGCAGGCAACAGAUAUUCGAAGAGAGUGAAUACACACAGCCAAACAGGUGGCUUGAUAUGAAGGUUUAAAUCCAUCCCCUUGCCCCACACACAAAAUUUAUUUUCAUGCUUGCUCUAUCGAGUGGAAAGAGAUGGGAAUAUAUUAGAUUUCUGUGGAUGCUACAACAAAUUACCACAAUCUGUUCAACAUAAAAUGAAAACAAAUCGUUCUUUAAGUUCUGGAAAACAAAAGUCUGAAGUUAAGAUGUUUCAAAGACCUACUCCCUUCAGACUCUUCCUGUCACCUGGCUUUUCCUGGCUGUUAGUGACCUGGAAAGAAUUCACUUGGACUAUCUCACCAGUGAUGUGAGACCAUGCACAAGUGAGGAAGUGGUUUCAAAGCAAGUUUAUUGCAAAGUAGGAUAUGGUUAGAAGGCAAGCUGGGAUGCCACCAUAGUCUUUGUGACCCCAUUUGUUAUGUUUUUUUAAAUUUUUCUAUACUUCUUGAUGUGGGGUAUUUCCCACUCUACUCCUUCAGACAUAUGAUUUACCCCUGCCCUACAUUCAAUUUUGAAGUAUGCAUAUAUUUUCCAAUCAUUCUUCUGUAAUUAAUGGCAUACAUGAGAUGUGGUGCCUAUGUAUGAAGCCAUAAGCAUAUGAUGAGGAGGAUAGGUCAACCCAAGGACACUUGGGGCAAUCAGUGCACAUGGCCUGCUCGGUGGACAGUCCGUAGCUCUCUUUUGUGUGUAGUCUAUGGUCACCUCUCCACUUAGGGUUCUCUUUGACUUGUUGAGAUGCUCUCAUACCUUGGCCCCUUCCCAUUAUUAAACAAAGCUAAAUAUUAUUCCCAUUAUUAAACAAACACAGUUCAACCAUCCUUGACCACCUGCCACAAGAACUACCUGCACCAUGUUAACAGUUCUAGAGACCACCUCCUACUGCUCAUAUAUGACUCUCUUUCUAUAUUAUCAUUCAUAUUCUAGCUUCUAGGAACUAUCAGUCUCCUUAACUUUCUCAACUUAGUGGCCAUUGUUCAUCAUCUAUUUGUCACUAUAACAAACAAACAAAAAAAGAAAAUCAAUUAAAGAGGAAAGUUUUGCUUUGCCUCACAGUUUUAGUGGUUUCAGUCCCUGACCACCUGAUUGAAUUGCUGUGUGCCUGUGGAAAAGCAGAAACAUCAUGGUGAAAGAGCAUGGCAGAGGAAAGCUGCUCAUCUUAUGGCAGUAGGAACCAGAGACAGUGAGAAAAAGCCAGAGAGGAAGGACAGAGGACUAGAUUUAUUUCCUAAAACCACAAGCCCAUGAUGUAUUUCUUUUAAUUAAGUCUCACCUCCUAUUUUCAUAACCUCCUCAUAAUGCCAUCAAGUAUGAUCUCAUCAAUGGGUUAAUCCAUUUGGUAAAAUUAUAGCCCUCAUGAUCUGAUCACUUCCCAAAAAGCCCAUGAACUACAACCAAGUUUUUUAGCCAUGAGCUUUUGGAGGACAUUUCAAAGCCAAAUUACAACAGGGUCCAUCGAUCUAACCUCUGACUUCUUCACAUCCCGUCUUCUCUUUGGUUUGUGUAUUUUUCUUAUUUGUUGUCUAAAAUUUCCCUCUGCCUUUCUCUCAUAAGGAACCAUGUCAUUUUGGGGUCUAUUCCUAUAAUAGUAGAGUAUCACAUAUUAAAAUUUUUGACAUAAAGUCCCCUUUUCCAAGUGGAGUAGCUUUUAAGAUGUCUUCAUUUUGAAAGGUAAACUGCAAGACUAAUAAAAUUUAGCUUCAAUAUAUUUCUCUCUUGGAAACAGAAAGAUCAAAACAAAUUUAUCUUCUCUUACAAACUUUGACUUAUGUUAGUUUCCAAAGUUUUACUUUUGCUUCUACAAUGAUACUUCUUUAACUAGAGCCAUCUAUUUUUGGGGAAUUAAUACAGAGCUCCAGAAGGGAUUCCAAUUGCAAUACCAAAUUGCACUGAAACAGAUUAAUUCAGGAGGCCUAUUUCCAUGCUUUGCACACACCUAUAAUACAAUGUACACAUGCAUCAAUGUGACUGUGUAGGCUGUCGACCUGGGAAAAUGUCAGGAUGAAAAGAUAUAUAAGGUACACAUACAAGUCUUAAUUUUUCACAGACCUCAUAUAUUCUCCUCUGCUGGCUACUCCAGGAAAUGACUGUAGCAAAUUGGUGGCAACUACUAAUUUCAGACUGCUGUGCUAAGCCUAGCAAAAGUACACAUGACUACUGUACCAUGUUGGAAAUAGAGAAGCACAAUAAAAUUGCAAACUUGUCUAACUAGUUGAGAAAUACUCAAGGGUCAUUUUGAAUGACAGUCUUCUAGCUCUGCACAAAGUAUAAGCUAAUCCCAGAAAAUGGAAUCCCCAUAGAAAAAAAUCAGUAUACUUCAUCAUUUGAUAUUGCUAUAUGCCACAUUUUUUUGAUAUACAUUUUUUUAAGGGGAAAUGGUUUAUUUGGUUUACAGUUUGUAGAGGUUUCAGUCCAUAAUUGUGUGGCUCCAAAGAAGGGUGACAUGGCAGACAGGCCUUCCAGAGGAAAAAUAGUUCAUGGUGCCCACACAGUAGCAAAAGCAACAAAUGACCUUAAGAGCAUUUUUUCUGCCCCUUUUAUCUUAUUCAGAAUUUAAGGUGGGUUGUAGUGCCCUCAAGCCUAGCCCCACCAUGAAUCAAUCACACACUCUAGAUUCAGCCACUUCCAUAAUAGCCCCACUUCAUUCUUAUGAGGCUUUGGGGGAAACAUCUAAACACAAGCCAUAACAUUCUUCCCCUGGUCCCUCAUAGAUUCAUGUACAUUCCUUUACUCAAAAGGCAUUUAGUCCAUCUCUAAGAGUAUUGGUGAAAAGUUUCAGUAUUGGUGAAAAGUCCAAAUUCAAUGUCUCCUCUGCAAUUUAAGGCAAAAUGGCAAACUGGCAAACUCUUAGCUGCAAGCCCCUGUACAAAUGGAAAGAAAGUUAAACACUUCCAACAUUCAGUGGCACAGCACAAGAUAGACAUUCCAAAAGUUACAGACAGGAAGAUACAAAGGAAUGGGAACAAUGCAAGUCCAAAACCCACCAGGGCAAACACUAAAUCCCACAGUUCUACUUCCAGCAUACCCAGCAAGUUAUGAACUCCAAAGGGCUUAGUGGCUCUGCCCCUGACACAUUUCUGUGGUUGUAGCUUCCAUGGCUCCCUUCUUGGGCUGGCUAUGCUCCCUCCUUGCAGUUUUCCUCAGAAGAUCUAUGAUCCUGGCUUCUCCAACAUUUGCGGUCUCUACUGCACUUUUGGUUUCACACUCACAGGUUCAAACACUGCCCUCUCAGGGGCACACUGCCUGGCCUCCCAGGCCUUCUUCUGAAAUAUGGGUGGAAGCCUUCCUGACCACAAAACUCUUGGAUUCUGAAUGCUCCUGAAACCAGCACCAUAUGGAUGACACCAAGGUCUGCUGCCAGCUGGAGCUGUAGCCAGGCUUCCUUCUCUCUUAGUUGAAAGGGUGGCAUGGCAGCUAUGUGCCUAUGAACCAAAUCCCUAGGAACAACAUCCCUAGGCUGUUGUCAUUCUGGAGCAUGGUGCUCUGGGGAUCUCUUCUGAAAGCCAAGCCCUUCACUUUUGCAAUUUUGAGGUUUCAAAGGCUGGAGUCCUGCUGUUGCUUAUAAUGUCCUUAGGCCAUCUUUUCUAUUCUCCUGCCCCUUCUCAGCAAUCAAGAUUUACUCUGUUCUGUCUUUGCAGUUCACAGCUUUACUGGAACUUCCUUUCUAGCCACACUCACAGAAUUUUAAAUCAUUCCUCUGGGCUUUUUGCUCUUGAUUCUCAACCUAGAUCUGGCUAAAAGCCCUCAACAGCAGCCACACCAUGGCCUCCACAAUAGCCUGCCUUGAAAUUUCUUCUGUGAAAUUAAUUAGUCCACCACACUUAAUGUCAGUCUCAAGGAAAGCCUCUGAACAUGAGCAAAAUGCAGACAAAAUUUCUGCCAAGCUUAACACACAUCUUCUGGAGUCCAAUAGCCAAUGUGAUCCUUCAUCCGAGCAGUAACCUCCUGAGCCUGGUUUUUAUCAGUCUUCUCCUCUUCUGAGCUCUGAUCAGAACUUCUCAUACAGAACAGCUUAAGAUGUUCCAGUUCUACAUCUACAGCCAGCCUCUCCAACUCAUUCCUUUCCUUUUCCACAAGCAAGUUCCAAAGGCUCUUGAGCCACUUGGCCAGGUAAUGUCACAGCAACAACCCCACUCUCAGUACCAAAUUUCUGGGUUAGUUACUUUUCUCAUUGCUGAAACAAAAUACCUGGCACCCAAAGUUAAAAGGGAAAGGGUUUAUUCGGCAAACAGUUCAUAGAGGUUUCAGUCCAUAAUUGUCUGGCUUCAAGGAAGGGUGGCUUGGCAGACAAGCCUUCCAGAGGCAAAAUAGUUCACGGUACCCACACGGUAGCAAAAGCAACAAGAGACUUUAAGAGCGUUUUUUUCUUCCCCUUUUAUUUUAUUCAGACUACUUAGGGUGGGUAGAACUCAUACCCUUAAUCUUAGUGCUCUCAGGCCUAGCCCCACCAUGAUUCAAUCACACAUUCUAGAUUCAGCCACCUCCAAAAUAGCCCCACCUCAUUCGCACAAGGCCUUGGGGCAACAUUUAAACACAAACCAUAAUAUAUAGUGAGCUGCUUAAGUCUCAAAUUAUACAAAAAGCUUGAGUCAUUAUCAGCCACAGCAGGGCAUAGAGCUCCAUGUCACUCCCCAGAUACACACCUCACACCCAUGUGCCCAAUGUGACGAAGCUGGGGAAGAUACUUCUCAUUCACACAGCUCAGGGAUAGAAAUAAAAGAGGCUGCUCCUGCCCAAUGUCACCUAAGAAACAGAGCCUGCACUUAUUCAUCAGUUCUGCCUCACUCCAGAACCCAAGUCUUCACUCCUAUGCUAUGUAUGACAGACCAUAUAUCAGGUCCUGAGGACACAGUGGUAACCAAAACAAGCAAGACCCUGUCUCUAUAAAGCUGCCCAACCAGUUUGGACAGUUAUUUUUAGAACUGUUUACACUAAUGGAAAAGCAUAUACUACCAGGAAAUCCUAACCUGGGGAAGACUUCUCUUACAAAGUGGUAUUCAAGCUCAGACCUAAAGUAUAAGCAAGAGUUGGCCAGGGGAGGAGUAGAAAAU